rnacentral:misc_RNA from 1 species
AAAUUUUCAGAACCCUUCCAAUUCCAUGAGUCAAAAUUUAAACAUGACUUGGUAAUACUUGAUUAUUUGUAAACCAGAACAAGGGCAAUCCUCACCAUAAUACCCAUGUGAUCCGAUCGGCUAAUAGAUAUCACAUUUGAUAAAUAAUGCUUACAAAUUGGAUAAUUUGUCACUACUGUAACAUCACAUUAAAUUACUGCACCAUAACAUCCAACAAAUCCUCUGGGCCAUCAGUAUCAUCGCAGCAUUACAAUCUUGUAAAACAUGUUAAAAUUUGAUUAGCCUGAUAUUACCCAAACCUGGGGCUUCAAUCACCUUUGAAGCGGGCCUGUGGUAUAACUCCAACACAGGUCAACUCCAUGAGCAUCCAUAUUUCACAACAUAUCCUUCGAUAGCAUCUGCAUUUGAACUUUGAAGUACCCACCAACAUAUUAUUGUUUGUUGUAAAACGUUAAGCUCUCAGAUCUCAUAGCUCCAAGAUGCACAUGAUUGGUCAAGCCAUUGUUUUUCAUAUGGAACCUCCUCCUCUCUCAAAUGAAGGAAACAACCACCAUCACAACAACCAACACCACCACCACCACCAAUAAUAAUAAUAAUAAUAAUUUUUAAGAGAGAUGGACCAACUUUAUUGAAUUGGAAUUUUAGGGAUAAUUAAACAUUCUAAAUUGAAUUUUCAACUCCAUUUGCUAACCCAUCCCAUGCCUGCAGGUGUUUACCUCAAUCCACCAUUUUGAAUGUUGGUUUUGUUCAAAAUUUUAACACUUCAACAGAAUUUACCCUGACUUGAGAAAAACCUUGCAUGGAAAAAAAUUUUUUUUUUCUUUCACCAUGAAUUGGAAAGAAAGCUCGAUUCCCUGCAAAGAAGACGUCUUUAUUGAUCUUACUUCAUGUCUGAACGGAUCAUGAUAUGAAAAUCAUCAAACACAAUUUUGUAGAUUGUACACAUUGUUUUUUUUUAUAUAGCAACUGAAAACUAGAAAUUCUAUGUGAGAGGAGAUGUCAAUUUGAAGAU